AGACCCGAAACCCGGUGAUCUAGCCAUGGGCAGGUUGAAGGUUGGGUAACACUAACUGGAGGACCGAACCGACUAAUGUUGAAAAAUUAGCGGAUGACCUGUGGCUGGGGGUGAAAGGCCAAUCAAACCGGGAGAUAGCUGGUUCUCCCCGAAAGCUAUUUAGGUAGCGCCUCGUGAAUUCAUCUCCGGGGGUAGAGCACUGUUUCGGCUAGGGGGCCAUCCCGGCUUACCAACCCGAUGCAAACUGCGAAUACCGGAGAAUGUUAUCACGGGAGACACACGGCGGGUGCUAACGUCCGUCGUGAAGAGGGAAACAACCCAGACCGCCAGCUAAGGUCCCAAAGUCAUGGUUAAGUGGGAAACGAUGUGGGAAGGCCCAGACAGCCAGGAUGUUGGCUUAGAAGCAGCCAUCAUUUAAAGAAAGCGUAAUAGCUCACUGGUCGAGUCGGCCUGCGCGGAAGAUGUAACGGGGCUAAACCAUGCACCGAAGCUGCGGCAGCGACGCUGAUGCGUUGUUGGGUAGGGGAGCGUUCUGUAAGCCUGUGAAGGUGUGUCGUGAGGCAUGCUGGAGGUAUCAGAAGUGCGAAUGCUGACAUAAGUAACGAUAAAGCGGGUGAAAAGCCCGCUCGCCGGAAGACCAAGGGUUCCUGUCCAACGUUAAUCGGGGCAGGGUGAGUCGACCCCUAAGGCGAGGCCGAAAGGCGUAGUCGAUGGGAAACGGGUUAAUAUUCCCGUACUUGGUGUUACUGCGAAGGGGGGACGGAGAAGGCUAUGUUGGCCGGGCGACGGUUGUCCCGGUUUAAGCGUGUAGGUGUGUGUUCCAGGUAAAUCCGGUUCACUUUAACACUGAGGCGUGAUGACGAGGCACUACGGUGCUGAAGCAACAAAUGCCCUGCUUCCAGGAAAAGCCUCUAAGCAUCAGGUAACAUCAAAUCGUACCCCAAACCGACACAGGUGGUCAGGUAGAGAAUACCAAGGCGCUUGAGAGAACUCGGGUGAAGGAACUAGGCAAAAUGGUGCCGUAACUUCGGGAGAAGGCACGCUGACAUGUAGGUGAAGUGAUUUACUCAUGGAGCUGAAGUCAGUCGAAGAUACCAGCUGGCUGCAACUGUUUAUUAAAAACACAGCACUGUGCAAACACGAAAGUGGACGUAUACGGUGUGACGCCUGCCCGGUGCCGGAAGGUUAAUUGAUGGGGUCAGCGCAAGCGAAGCUCCUGAUCGAAGCCCCGGUAAACGGCGGCCGUAACUAUAACGGUCCUAAGGUAGCGAAAUUCCUUGUCGGGUAAGUUCCGACCUGCACGAAUGGCGUAAUGAUGGCCAGGCUGUCUCCACCCGAGACUCAGUGAAAUUGAACUCGCUGUGAAGAUGCAGUGUACCCGCGGCAAGACGGAAAGACCCCGUGAACCUUUACUAUAGCUUGACACUGAACAUUGAGCCUUGAUGUGUAGGAUAGGUGGGAGGCUUUGAAGUGUGG
rnacentral:rRNA from 1 species